UUUAAAAAAAAAAAAAUCACCAAAUAAUUAUAAAUAUGUUUAAGAUUCUGGAAAGGGCUAUGAAUUUUAGCAGGCAAGUUUAUUUUCUUGGCAAACUGACUCUGGAUAUGUGUUAUAUGCUCUGUAAUUUUUGUUUAAAAUGUUUUGAUAAUCCAAGCAGAAACAUGUGAUUUAGCCAGCCAGUCACAAAACACAAGUAACAAAUAGCAUGUACUGAGCAGCCAAAACAAAUAGUUCACAAACCUACAGUCAGAAAACUAUCACAUAUCACAGGUGAGAUUUCAGCCCUCCUUUCCCCAGUUCUGUUAGAUAGAAGAGUCCCAUCAGGACACAAUUCUGGCUGAAGAAAGAUUCCUUCAGUGGAGGCACUGCAGAAGAAAGCUGUAAAAUUGCUUUCCAAUAACUCCCUCAGGAUGGUGUGUUUUGGUGUUGCAGUUCCCCCGAAUGGGAGUUGGAGGAGUGUGCCAGAGUCGGGUACAGCAAUGAAUGUACAGGACAGUCAUGGGAAAAGAAGUCAUAACCUGAACAGGCAUGUCAAGCUCUCCAAGAUACCCCAGUGGCUAGAAUAACCCAGAACUGGGUCACUCCAAAGAGUCACGGAAAAGUAUGGCUGCAAGGGACUUCAGGAGAUUAUCUAAGUCCAACCUCUUGCUCAAACAGGAUCAUUCUAGACAAGCGUUGGAUUAAUCUGUUCUUAAAAAUUCCGGGAACAACCUCACAUGCCACUACCAAGCAAAAUGCCUGAAACAACGAAAAUACCCUCUAACUCACCACAGGUGUAAAGCAGAUUGAUGACAGCAUUGUUCAUAUCCUACCACUCCAAGGACAGGAAGUUGUUUGUUAAAAUACACGUAAAAGUUUCAAGGAAGAGCAUUAUACUUCCCACUACAGUCCAUGCCAAUCUCACUAUAAGGUAAAAUUCCUCCUAUUAUGCAUCCCACCCUGACUAUAGAGCCUCAACUCCUUUUCCUAUCAUUCCACCUGCUUCAGAAACAUAUCCUAGAUCCUUUAAUAUUCUUUCAUAACAAAGUUGGUUGUGAAGCUCUGCUUCAUUGUCCUGCUGCUAAGCAUGGUCCUCUCCAAUUUCCACCUGCUUGAAACUGCAGAGCAAUUCUCAUGGUCCCUGAGCAGUGCUCUGGGAGAUCUUUAGGGGUGUGUGUGGGGGAUCUCCUGGACUUCUAACUGUUGCUCUUCAUCAGGGAUCCUGGUUUUCUCUGUUUAAAAAUCCCAAAUUCUCUGAUUAAACCCCCCAAAUCUGUGUUUUCCUGCAAUUAAAAUGAAACACCACUACAUAAAGUUUUAUUGAUAUAUUUACAAUUUUAAAGCAAUUUAGAAGCCUACCAGUGUCUCAAUCAUUAUAAUAAAAUAAAUUCUAAAUACCUAUA